AACAAUAUAUUGUAUAAAGUUAUGUGUUCAAGUAAAAAAAACAUGUUGGAAACUAUACAGUUCUUAAAAAAUAGAACAGAUAGAGAUGGCCGAAUUCAGAGAGUUCAGAUAGAGUUAAUCAACACAAAAGAAAUAUCAUUAAUAAAAAAGAUUGUACAGGUUUGUCAAAACGUAUUAAUGAGUAUAAACGCAGUGGAUUUUGAAAAAGUUAAAAUGAUAUUAAAAAAAAUUAACAAUGAAAAACUACUGUGGCUUGACUUAGUGUGUGUUGACGGCGCAUAACUUCAUAAGAAAGGACAGUUGUAAUAUCAUGGUGCAUUUUUUAAAUAUUUCACACACACACACACACACACUUGAGCUUUGAAAAACAUUUUCUUACAUUUUGUCAAUUAUAAAUCUCAACCUAUAAGGUUAAAUUUAAUGUAAUAUUUUAAUUUUUUUAAAGCUCUGAUGAUGAAUAAAGUCUUAUCGCAUUUUCUACCAAAUUAAUUUAAAACAGGCCAAUCAAUUUUCAUUUAACAAUACAAAUGUUUCUGAGUGAUCGAUAAAAGAAAGGAGACAACCUUUAUUCAAAUGUCCCUUAUGAAAUGCCAUUAGGACAUACUGUUUUAAGAAACCAUCUCUUACAUAAUUUUAUCCUUUAUUUACACUUUGUUAUGCUUAGACAAUCGGCGUAUUAUAUUGUAGCGGGGGAAUCCAUUAUUCUUAAUACAGUAAAUAUUGUCUGCGAUUAAAAUCAAGGAGAUUCAAUUUAUUCAUCUCUAUAUAAUUUUCUUAAUAUUGUAAACUUAACAAUUAGUUGCCAGGACUUAGGCUGGCUAUGUGUUUAGAAAAUAACAACAGACAGCCCGAACCACGCCAAUAAUUUAAAUAAUAAUAACUUGACCGUGACAAGUUAUAUCGAUGAGACUAUUCGGCUCUUACGUAUUUCCACUGUCCAGAAUAGUUGUUUACGCCAGUUUGACUCUGAACUCGUGCUGACCUCGUGGAACGAGUGUCUGGCCAUGAUAUUCCGUUUUUAAUCAGCCUGGUUUGCGACUUCAACCUAUGUAGUUAGUUGUUCUCUUUGCGUUUGGGGUAUAAUUCUGUUUAAUUUGCGCUUAUUCGGGGGGGGGGGCACUUAUUCUUCGUUUCGUCGGAUCGCAGUGUAUGAUCGGAGAAUCGUUGGUAAUCUCCACAAUUCCGCUACGAGGUAAGGGUUUUCCGUCCAAUUUUUCUCGUUGGUCUUUCUAUCAAUAAUAGAUCAUAAUAUCAUUCCCUGUCCUCCUCCCCUGGAUUCCUCGUGGACGAACGAAAUCGACGGAGCUGAGGGUUGUGACAUGAAAACUGUGGGUUCACUGUUCUAAAUUGCAACUCCGUUAGAAAGCUUCGUUAUUGCCAUUCUGCCCGUCGGUGUAUUUCCUUUGACCAGACAGGAAAUGACAACAGGGCACAAAGAGUGAGUGAGUACAUCGAUAAGAUUGCCGGCUCGAAUCUACCGUGAUUCAUUCCCUCGGCUGUUAAGACAAAACAACCGAGAUGAAGUGUUGUAAAUGAUUACUCAAAACUACCAUUUCACCGUUUAAAAAAUUUCUUUGAAUAUUUAGCAAUUCUGACAGUCUUAUGAAAUUCCAUCAAUUUAAACAGUCAUAUAUACUAAAAAAUAAUAUAACAAAUUAAAUAAAUAAGUAAGGGCUAUUAAGUCUCAAAUCAACGGGGGUUCCGCAUUAUCAUGGAUUUCAAUUUUAUUAGGUUUUUGUAGGGUUAUGUCAAUUUUUUUAAAAGAAAGCGGGAUAGAAGAGAACCCCCGACCUAACCACCGAGAACUCGGUGGGCUGCAUUGGCAGAGAAGCUGUCAGGUGUCAACUGCUCGGUCGAUGGUUGCCUUUGGAGGACCUGAAUCAAAUAAGAGAGAUCAUACUCUCCCGACUUACUGUCUGGACUUGUGUCCGGUUUGUUGGGAAAAGUUACUGGAUGGGAGCGUGUACUAAUGCCACCUGAUGUGAUAAUUGUGCUUGCAUAUCAGCGAGCAUUUUGGUCCACUGUUCCGAUUCUUUGAGGAAUUUGGAUUUUUAUUGUAUAGUAGUGCUAGAUGGUCGAUGGGAAAAUAUGGACGAUCAAGUAGAUGUUAGUUAUAAAUCAGGUCGAGUACUCAACUAAUGUCAGUGGAUUUAGUUUUAAAAAUGCAUUGGGAACUGAAAUAACCUAGCUAUUGAUAGCGCCUGGAGCCUAACUUCGGUAACUGCCAAACACGAGGUACGUGAUUCUAAAAAGUCUUAAGUUCGAUUCUGUAUACGUAUGUAUGUAUAUACGGGUGAAGAGUUGAGCUUACAUAAAUCAGUAAUUUGCAAUAAUACAUUUAACAUUAAUAGCUGAGAAUACGUAGUCAACAAAAAGGCAAGUAGAACCUUCUGUUAAACAUCUUCAAUUUAUCAACAGGAAACUUUCCUCACAAAAACAUAUCUAAUAUAUGUUAUUCUUAAAUUAUGAUCUAUCGCAUUUAUAUAGGACAGGAUGGAAAAUGAAAAAUGACCAGUUCAGUCGCAUAUCUCUUCUGUCCGACUUCAAGUGAAAUAUUUACCAACACCAGAUUUAAGGUUGACUAAACUAUGGAAAUCUAGUUUAAAAAAAUAUAUAAAAAAAUAAAUAAAUAAAAAUUAACGUCUUGUGAAUGUAUGCACCCUACAGGAUUAAUUGUUGAA